GCAAGUCGAACGAAGACACAAGGAAAGAGUUCGGCAAUUGAAUUGUGACUAGUGGCGGACGGGUGAGUAAUGCAUGAGCAACCUGCCCCGGAGUGGGGGACGAACAGUUGGAAACGACUGCUAAUACCGCAUGAAGUUGCGGAAGGCAUCUUCCUGCAACCAAAGAUUUAUCGCUCUGGGAUGGGCUCAUGUCUGAUUAGAUAGUUGGCGGGGCAACGGCCCACCAAGUCUGCGAUCAGUAGCCGGACUGAGAGGUUGAACGGCCACAUUGGGACUGAGAUACGGCCCAGACUCCUACGGGAGGCAGCAGUGGGGAAUAUUGGGCAAUGGGCGCAAGCCUGACCCAAGCAACGCCGCGUGAAGGAAGAAGGCUUUCGGGUUGUAAACUUCUUUUAUCAGGGACGAAGGAUGUGACGGUACCUGAUGAAUAAGCCACGGCUAACUACGUGCCAGCAGCUGC
rnacentral:rRNA from 1 species